rnacentral:rRNA from 1 species
AAGAACUAACAAGGAUUCCCCUAGUAACGGCGAGUGAAGCGGGAAGAGCUCAAAUUUGAAAUCUGGCAGCCUUUGGUUGUCCGAGUUGUAAUCUAGAGAAGCGUUUUCCGCGUUGGCCCAUGUACAAGUCUGCUGGAAUGCAGCGUCAUAGAGGGUGAGAAUCCCGUCCUUGACAUGGACUACCAAUGCUUUGUGAUACGUUUUCAACGAGUCGAGUUGUUUGGGAAUGCAGCUCAAAAUGGGUGGUAAAUUCCAUCUAAAGCUAAAUAUUGGCGAGAGACCGAUAGCGAACAAGUACCGUGAGGGAAAGAUGAAAAGCACUUUGGAAAGAGAGUUAAACAGUAUGUGAAAUUGUUGAAAGGGAAACGAUUGAAGUCAGUCGUGGGCUUUGCAUUCAGCUGGUUCUGCCAGUGUACUUGCUUUGCUCGGGGUCAACAUCGGUUUUGGUCGUCGGAAAAGGCUUGGAGGAAUGUGCCACCCCCGGGUGAACUUAUAGCCUCUUUGCUUAUACGAUGGCUGGGACCGAGGAACGCAGCUUGCCUUUAUGGCCGGGGUUCGCCCACGUACAAGCUUAGGAUGUUGACAUAAUGGCUU